rnacentral:rRNA from 1 species
AAUUGGAGGGCAAGUCUGGUGCCAGCAGCCGCGGUAAUUCCAGCUCCAAUAGCGUAUAUUAAAGUUGUUGCAGUUAAAAAGCUCGUAGUUGAACUUCGGGAUCAAUGGAUCGGUCAUGCCGUUGGUAUGUACUGGUCACAUUGGUUCUCACCUUCUAAGGAACCAUGAUGUCAUUCAUUUGAUGUUGUGGGGAAUUAGGACUGUUACCUUGAAAAAAUUAGAGUGUUUAAAGCAGGCUAACGCUUGAAUACAUUAGCAUGGAAUAAUGAAAUAGGACAUCGCAUUCUAUUUUGUUGGUUUCUAGGAUCGAUGUAAUGAUUAAUAGGGAUAGUUGGGGGCAUUAGUAUUCAAUUGUCAGAGGUGAAAUUCUUGGAUUUAUUGAAGACUAACUACUGCGAAAGCAUUUGCCAAGGAUGUUUUCAUUAAUCAAGAACGAAAGUUAGGGGAUCGAAGACGAUCAGAUACCGUCGUAGUCUUAACCAUAAACUAUGCCGACUAGGGAUCGGAUGAUGUUAAUUUUUUAAUGACUCAUUCGGCGCCUUACGGGAAACCAAAGUGU